rnacentral:rRNA from 1 species
UACGUAGGAGGCAAGCGUUGUCCGGAAUUACUGGGCGUAAAGCGCGUGUAGGUGGUGGGACAAGUCUGCUGUGAAAGCGCCUGGCUUAACCGGGCGAGGUCGGCGGAAACUGUCCGACUCGAGGACGGUAGAGGGGGGUGGAGUUCCCGGUGUAGUGGUGAAAUGCGUAGAGAUCGGGAGGAACACCUGUGGCGAAGGCGGCCCCCUGGGCCGGCCCUGACACUGAGACGCGAAGGCGUGGGGAGCGAACGGG